rnacentral:rRNA from 1 species
AACGAACGCUGGCGGCGUGUUUAAGACAUGCAAGUCGCACGGGAUAAGACAUGUAGUAAUACUUGUUUUAUUUAGUGGCGCACGGGUGAGUAACACGUGAAUUACAUGCCCAAUAGUGGGGAAUAGCCCAGGGAAACUUGGAUUAAUACCCCAUGGUAUCGAAAGAUUAAAGGUGGCCGCAAGGCUGUCGCUAUAGGAUUGGUUCGCGCCCUAUCAGCUUGUUGGUGAGGUAACGGCUCACCAAGGCAAUGACGGGUACCUGGUCUGAGGGGACGAUCAGGCACACUGGAACUGAGACACGGUCCAGACACCUACGGGUGGCAGCAGUCGAGAAUAAUUCACAAUGGGGGCAACCCUGAUGGUGCAACGCCGCGUGGAGGAUGACGGUCUUCGGAUUGUAAACUCCUGUCAUCUGGGAGAAAGACCUGACGGUAAAUAGCCGGCAGGGUUGAUAGUACCAGAAGAGGAAGGGACGGCUAACUUCGUGCCAGCAGCAGCCGCAG